CUCGUAGGUGGCUCUGUAAGUCGGAGGUGAAAGACCACGGCUCAACCGUGGAAACGCCUUCGAUACUGUGGAGCUUGAGGCUGGGAGAGGAAAUCGGAAUUCCUGGUGUAGCGGUGAAAUGCGUAGAUAUCAGGAGGAACACCGGUGGCGAAGGCGGAUUUCUGGACCAGUUCUGACACUGAGGAGCGAAAGCCAGGGGAGCAAACA
rnacentral:rRNA from 1 species